CCGGUCUGCAUCUGCUGGAUCAGCUCUGCCUCCUCACACUCACACACCCGCAAACACUCCCACUACUCCACGCAUGUACACACACUCUCAUCCAUCCCGCUCGCCGUCUUACUCACACACACAUUUCCCCACACACUUUUCCACCGCUGCUGCUGCUGCUGCUGGUGCUGCUGCUGCUGCUGCUGGUCUUGGUGGAGGUAGAGGCGUAACAGGGGGAAUCCUCCAGUGCUAACCGGCUCCUGGAGACACCUGCCUGCCCGUCUCUGGCUCUCCGCCUUGGGGGAGGAUUGCCGGUGCGGAGCGCUGCUCUGGGCAGCAUGAGAGGAGGAGGUGGAGGAGGAGGAGGAGGUGGAUGCCUGUUGGUGCAGAGGGUCGGGGGGUAACUGCGAGUAGACACUGGACACGGCUGAAGGCGUCGCCGCGGUGACAAGCGACGGCGUGUACUGUGCGGUAGGAGCUAGUCAUGUCGGCUAGCAUUCCCUCUAAGGAACAUCGCCCCAAUGCGAGGACCUUGAUUGGGGCUUGGUCAAGGUGAGGACAUAGUAUGGAUGACUCAUGCAGAUAUUUUCCAAAGUGCAGCACUCAGCCCAUCAGACCCUCACUUUGAGGAUGGAUGGAGUGUUCCCAGUGUCAUUGGUUCAAAGCUUGACUACUGACCCUGACUCAGCAGCCCCUCUCUCGUCCAGCUCUUCUCCUUGCUCUUCACCCCUCCACCAACCCUUUGGCAUAAUAGGAAUGAUGCUGUUGGUAUGUCCGUCUGUCUGUCUGUCUGUCUGUCUGUCUGACCAUGUGUGUCUGACUGUGUGUGUGUGUGUGUGUGUUCCGUUGGUCUGACAAUGUUUGUCUGACCGGUUUGUGUGUGUCCUAGUGUGUGUGCGUAUGUGUGACUAACUGAGUGUGAGUUGUUUGUUUC
ensembl:lncRNA